rnacentral:rRNA from 1 species
AGAAUCAACGCUGGCGGCGUGCCUAACACAUGCAAGUCGAACGCGAAAGUCCCGCAAGGGAUUAGUAGAGUGGCAAACGGGUGAGUAACACGUGGGUGACCUGCCUUCGAGUGGGGGAUAACGUCCCGAAAGGGACGCUAAUACCGCAUGACAUCCUGCCUUUGAAGAGGUGGAGCUUAAAGCCGGGGAUCGCAAGACCUGGCGCUUGAAGAGGGGCCCGCGCCUGAUUAGCUAGUUGGUGAGGUAAUGGCUCACCAAGGCAUCGAUCAGUA